GGCGGAGCUGUCUCUCCUCAGUGAGGGGCAGGGACCAGUGGAGGGGCGGGGCCGUCGUGCGGCGUUGUCCCCGUCCUGCGGUUCCCGCUGCCACCAGCAGGCCGCGCUGCCGCUCUCCUCCCCUGCUCCGCCCGCCGGGCUCCGGGCUCCGCCUCACUCGGCUUUCCUCUGGCGGGCGGUGCGCAGUGGGAAAUGAGGAGCGGUGGACCGGCGGGGCCUGAGCGACAGCCGUAUUGAGCCGGCGGGGCUGGGCGACCAUGGCGGCGGAAGGCCCAGGUCCGGGCGCGGGUCUCAGCGGCGGGGGCGCGGCCCCACUGGCCCGCAGUCUGGAGCGGGCGCUGGCCGAGGCCGCGGGCUCCGGGACCCUGGGUUUGAGCGGCCGCAAACUGAAGGAGUUCCCGCGGAGCGCGGUCGGACACGACCUGAGCGACACCGUGCAAGCAGAUCUGUCGAAGAACAGACUGAGUGAAAUUCCACUGGAAGUGUGCCACUUUAUCUCCUUGGAGAUCUUGAACCUAUAUCACAACUGCAUCAAAGUCAUUCCAGAUGCAGUCAUCAAUCUGCAGGCAUUGACGAAUUUAAACCUGAGUCGAAAUCAACUCUCUACAUUGCCAUUGUGCAUCUGUGCCCUCCCUCUUAAAGUCUUGGUAGUCAGCAACAAUAAGUUGGUGUCGCUUCCAGAAGAUAUUGGACAGUUGAAGUGUUUAAUGGAACUGGACGUGAGUUGCAAUGAAAUUACAGCCUUGCCACAACAGAUGGGACAACUUCAAUUGCUCAGAGAGUUGAACGUCAGGAGAAAUUAUCUGCAGAUUUUGCCAGGGGAGCUAGCAGACCUCCCUCUUGUGAAAUUAGAUUUUUCCUGUAAUAAGAUUGUGUCGAUACCAAUCUGCUACAGAAACAUGAAGCAUCUACAGAUAAUAGAAAUGGAUAAUAAUCCACUGCAGUCUCCACCUGCACAGAUCUGCAUAAAGGGUAAAGUGCACAUAUUCAAGUACCUGAACAUAGAGGCGUGUAGAAUUGAUAAGACUGCGGAAUGUCUUUAUCAACCGCCAAUGGAAAAGACCUGUGUUCCACAGCCCGUUUCUGGGAGCAUUGAAGACAUUUAUCCUGACAAAAAACAAGAUUUUGACUCUGGGAUUGGAAGUGACAAUGGGGAUAAACGCCUCUCUGCAACUGAACCUUCAGAUGAAGAUACAGCCAGUCUGACCCUUCAAAUGGCACAUAUCUCAGAGGAAGAUCACUUGAAUAAACAGGAGGAAUAUUUGAAUGUUGGAUCAAUGAAAGUGGAAUCUGAUCAGGAACCGAAGGAUUUGCUGCAGAAUAAUGCAGAAGUGGAAGAAAGGUUGGCUAGCCAGGAUGAUGGCUUGAGUUCUGAAUUUAGGACUUACAUGAAGGGAAGGGAGCCUGAGGAACCACUGAGAAUUGAGGAAGAUUCAAGUUGGACAAUAGAACAAAUACCAAACACAGAUGACCAUCUGGACAUUGAACCAGAGGUGGCAGAACAUAUGAGUUCUCCGGAAGGCAUUGUCCAGGAACAGCAGAGGUUGAAUCUGAAUCUUAAGGAUAUUAGUGGAGUAGAUCUUUAUCCUCUACAAUUAGAAAAAACAGCCUGCUUGGAACUUCAGACAUCACCAGUAAAUGGUGAGACACCAAAAAUUAACCCUUCAGCAAAGUUCUCCAGUUACCAGGACCUUGCCCCAUUUUGUGUAGAUGAGGAUUCUCCAUCUGAGAAAGGAAGUUCCAUGGUGGAGCUGGAGUUUCAGAGGAAGCGUGAGGUCAUGCUGGAGAAAGCAAGGCACGAAGCUCAGGUUGCAUCCCAACGGCUGGAAUGGCAGAGGUCCAAGCAGAAUACUAAUGAGAGUGUGGAGAAGAAUGAGUCACAAAAUGAGGAUGAAGAGAAGACUCCCACAGUCACACCCACAUUGUCUCCUGUUGCAUCGCCCACAGCCCCCUUUGGACUGAAGCCAAGAUCUGUCAAAGCAAACUCCUCUUUGGACUCCCCUCCUCCCUUCUUCAGAAAAUUGUCACAGACCCACAUAGAGGAACUCAACACCGCCAGUACCCCACAGGAGGAAGACAGAAGUCAUGCUUUCUUUCGGUCAAUGCGGAAUUUUGACUCCAUAGAUCCUCAAUUUACCAUCCGUAGAAAAAUGGAGCAGAUGAGAGAGGAAAAAGAACAUAUAGAACAACUCCGGGAGAACAUUGAAACCAGACUGAAAAUUAAUCUGCCAGAAGAAAUCGGAGCAGCCUUGAUGGAUGGAGUGGUUCUGUGUCAUUUAGUCAAUCAGAUCCGGCCAAGAUCCGUGCUCAGUAUACAUGUACCGUCACCUGCAGUGCCUAAACUAAGCAUGGCAAAAUGCAGGAGAAAUGUGGAAAACUUCCUCGAAGCUUGCAGGAAAAUUGGAGUACCCGAGGCUGACCUCUGCUCUCCGUACGACAUCCUGCAGUCGGACGUCCACACCAUUCAAAGGACUGUUGCCGCACUGCUGACACACAGGGAGAAAGUCCAACAGCCAACACCAGCCUUUCUCACAUGGGAUCUGUUUGGCUUUUGUGUAUUCCACGCUUUCUUUUUAGUGCUGCUAUAUAUAACUUACAACUGGAGCGUAUUGGUUUAGAACAUUGCAUGUGCAUAUAUCCUUGCACCGUGUGUAUAAUCCAGUUACAGGAGAAGCUAUGUUUGCCCCAUCAUAUACUAGAAGGAAAAGGGUUGCUGAAAGUAAGUAUGACUGUUCAAGCACUGCUAGACUGGGCCCUUACCAGAUCCCCAUUGUUUACGUGAAUCCAGAGCCACAGUGCUGCCAACCUCCUGAAGUCCAGCGAGCAACACAGCCUCAAGCCCAGGGCGAGGACAUGACGUACGAAAGGUGGACACUUUUCCUCAGCUGACAUGUGGAGUCAUUUCUGUACACUAGCAACAUUUGUUUUAAAAGCAUAACUAAAAACUACAUAUGUCACAAUAUUUAAUCAAUACAUUAACUUUGCAACUACAGAUAGAUACAGCUUUUGCAGAAGUGGGGGAAAGCCAAAUCUCUGAGUAUGUUUUAAUGUAUUAAAGAAACACGAUUUUGUUGUGCUAAUUUGUUUAGUUGCCAUAAUAUAACAUUGGCUUUUGGUUGUGAAGAAGUUUAGAAUGUGGUCAUAAGUUAUUUAUAUUAUUUAUUCAGGAUAUGUUUUACCCAUCCAUUGAGAUGAUUGUAAAUUUGAAAGACUUGCAGCUAAAACUGCUUUUUAAAGAUUGGAACAAUUUUAUUUUAUGGUGGCAGUUUGGUCAUUUUAGUUAGCACUUGGUUUCGUCUGUUGAACAACCCUAAGGCUUCCUUGAGAAUAUGCUGGUUAUCUUCAUGUGAAAUGAUCUAGUGAGAGAGAAGGGUGGUCACUCAUUUGAUGCAGUGUGUCGAACAGUGUCUCAAACUGAUCACUGCUGAAAGUAAAAUCACAGGGAACAGUUAGUACAGUUUAAACCAAAUUGACCAAGUCUCUGUCGACACUCGAUUAGUUCCUCUGGGUGCUGUAUUCCUUUAGCACAUUCCAGAUCAUGCAUCCCUGGUUCAGAUAGACUGGUUGGCUGACUUCAGUUCAGAAAUGGAAACAGUAUGAUUUUGACUUUCCAAAUGGAUAUGGCAAAUUGAAGAACAGGAUCUUAAUGACACAUUGCUCAGAUGAGUAGUCUAGGGUAACUCAAGCUGUUACCAAACAGCAGGAGCAGGGAGAGGCACUUCAUUUCCUGUGCAGGGAAUCAGUGGAGUGUUUCCUAGUCCAAUGUGCCUUGUUGCUCUGACAUUUGUGAUUGACUUAAUACUACAGAAUCUUAAAGUUUACAUCAAAAGGCCAUUUCAUUGCAUAGUAAGAUUGAUAUUACCAUACUUAAUAUUGCAACAAUACCAAAAACUCAACUCAGAUUAGCUCUGUGAAAAAGCCUGUUUUUUUUUGUUGUGGAUGUGUGAACUCAGACUCUAGAUUUUACCACACUUAAUCUAUUACCUUGUGCUGCAACACAAAACUCAAUGCAAUUUAUUCAGCUGACCAGUCACCUUCCCACUGCACCUGCUGGUGGUAUAUUAUGUAAAUAUGCAAGUAGUUUUACUGAAUUCAGUGAGAGCUGCAGGAACUAACUGAAGAUUUAUAAGCCAAACCCAAAUGCUAGUCAUUAGACUUCAUUGCCAAUUUAGGGGACCAAUUAAAAAUGUAAAAGUACUCAGGAAUCAUUGCCCUACCAAAAGAUGUUGAGUCACAAGCUGUUCGUGUGCCAGUCUUCGGAAAGCAGUUUCAGUAGUUUCACACUGCUUCCAGUUAACGUGAAUGAAGCUGUGUGUCCGUGGUGGCCAACCCUUAAGUUUACUCACUGGAAGCAGAUUGCAUUUCAACGCAUACGGGAAAGGUAGAGCUGACACUAAAAGAGCAGAAAUGUAACCACUAUUUAAAAAGAAAAACAGCCAGUUCUAAACAAAGGGAAAGCUUUAUCCUCUCAGAAGUACCAGCUGCCAGGAAUAGUGGUCGGUUGGGAUUGCUGUAAAUGGGAAGGGGCAGUGGGGAUGGGGGAGCUGCGUAGAGAACCCAUCUCCAACUGCCUGAAGAGUGGGGUCAGAGGCAAAGCUCCCCACAGAUCUGAAAACAAUUGUGUAUGAUUCUGCUCCUUUCUGAAUGUGGAUCUUUUGCUGCAGUUUGUUCUAAUAAAGACGCAUGAGGUAUAAAUGCAUCAAAUGUACUCCAGCGCAUUUCUCUUCAGCUUGGAUGAUUACAUUAUAUCAUCAGCAGAUGACGUACAAAUCUGAUUGAUAUGCUGUCAGCAUUUUGCUGGGAUGGGCAUCCUUUCUAUCAUUUGUAGGGCUUCUGUGAUGUAGAAACUGACAGGGCUGGUGCACAGGUGAGGAGAGAUGGGGGUGGGAGGGAAGUCAGUGGGCUGACUACCCUCACACAAAGAACAUUAACAGGAGAGAGUUUUCAUUGAUGAAAGGAUUAAAAGAUGCUCUACCAACUGCUGACAUAGGAAAUUCAUUGCAGAAAAUUAUUGUGAUAGGGUAACUUAGAGCAAGAAUAACAGAUGUGGUUUCAUCACAAAUAUUUGUUUUGUCUUAAAUAUUCUGUAGCAAUGGCAGUGCUGUUAAUGAUGAAUAGUGUGGGAAGAGGAUAGCAGAGAGAAGUGGGGUGGGGGCGGGGUGGUGCUAUCAAGAAUGGGGAGGCACUGUGGAGAAUAGGGGUGGGGCUAUUGAUAAUGGGGCAGGACUGUGAAUGCGGGCAGGGCAGUGUGGAUGGGCAGAACUGUGGGGGUGGAGCCGAGGUGUGGAGGGAAAUAGAGCCACAGGAUUCCCCGUGGUGACAGGAAUCCAGCAACAAGUAAAGGAGUUUAAUUACACUUCUGCCUGCCAACCUCAAACAAAAUUAGCUUGAUAAUGGGAAUUAUGUUCAUGGAAAUGGUAUUUUGGUAAUUAUUGCUAUUAUUCUUCUUGGUAUCAAUUUUGUUAGUGAGUGAAAUGUGGGGCAGAGGGGGACAACCGAGUGCUUCAGUCAGGAUGAACAAUACCCAUGCAAUAGGCGAGAGUGUUGUAUAGGGACUGGAGGGGUUACACUUCAGUACUUAAACCACUUAUUUGCGCCACACGUCUGUGUAGCAUCAACACAGUCAUUCAAUUUUUACUUUUGGGGAUGUCCCCGAGCACAGAUAAUGGAUUUUGUGAAAUUGAGAUAGGACCUGAAUCCCUGGUUUGCACCCAGGAAGUGUGAUGUAUAUUGAGAAUGUCGGCAGUAUGUAAUAACUUGAGGGCUUGUGAUGUGCUGCAAAAGGAGAUUGUUAUCUGAAAAUAAGCGAGUGUGGGUACACACCCUCAUGAAUAUCAACAGCAUUCUUCCAAUUAUCCUAAGGCACAAACUCACCAAACCAUCUUAUGAUUCCAAAUAAAUGAAAAUAGUACAGUCUCUUGAGGCAUCUGUCUAUGAAGGAGAGGCAGUGUUGAUAUUUGAGGGAAAAGAUGGGAUCAAGCAGGAAGGUCCGUUAGUUGUGUUAUGACAGUGUGCAUUCAAAAAUGAUACAUUCUUAAACGGAACAAAUCAGGAGUUUAGUUCAGUUCCACUCCCAUGUGAGUUCUCUGUUCUGAAAUAAAAUCCAGAUUAUAAUCCCAGCCCUGAACAAGAAUUGUUUACUGUAGUUUUAGGUGGGUAUAAAUAGAAAAAUCAGCAGGGCACUACAAUGGAACUAUGCACUUAAUUGGAUUUCUAUUAGGAGGCAAAAGCGAUCUUUGUUUAACAAAUGCAGGCUGUUUUGUACCAGAAGUUUAAAGUCUAGUGGAAGCACAAUUGGUAGAUGAGGAGAACUUCUGAUUUGCAUCUUCCAGAUGAGCCCUGCUGUGGAAAUGCAAUUUACAGAGUGAUGUAUUUACAUGUAUAUAAUGACCUCAUGCUUUUUUAUUUCGAGAUUGAGUAUUUGCUGUUGGAAUGACAUUGGGUAAUCAGGUUUUCAUUGUUCACAGCUGGCUUUCAGCAUGUAUUGUGUAAAAAAAAUGUUCUAUCUUUUAAUAUUUUGUAAAAUUGCAGUUUUUAGAGUGAUCGAUUUCUGGGGAACCCAGUUCCACUUGUAUGGCCAAAAGAUCUUCUGAUGUCUGUAUAUAGUUUGGGGAAUGUAUUUUGCAUGUGUGGCCUUUGAUGUUAUCUAAAGCCAUUGUACAUAGUGUAUAUUAUGUAGAAAUCACUUCUAUUGUAACAUCAAUAAUAAAGUCAUGUUAUUUGCAUA